rnacentral:rRNA from 1 species
UACGUAGGUGACCAGCGUUGUCCGGAUUUACUGGGCGUAAAGAGCGCGCAGGCGGUCGUUCAAGUCGAGUGUGAAAGCCCCCGGCUCAACUGGGGAGGGUCACUCGAUACUGAUCGACUUGAAGGCAGGAGAGGGAAGCGGAAUUCCCGGUGUGGUGGUGGAAUUCGUAGAUAUUAGGAAGAACACCAGUGGCGAAGGCGGCUCACUGGUCCGGUACUGACGCUGAGGUGCGAAAGCGUGGGGAGCAAACAGG